CCAAUUCUGGUUCUCGAUGAAGGCUUCUUCUGCCCCGCCCACGGACAAGGGGCGUCAAGAUCUCGGGCUCAGUCAUCCUCUCGAAGGAUAGCAUCUCAAUUGGAGUGCCUUUAGAAGAUUUUAGGCAUGGUCAACCUGCUCCUAUCUUAUGUGAUGGUGAUCAAAUAUGAUACUUGGAAGACCUGUUUUUCAUUACACAAUCAGAUUGUGUUGCAAUUCUUGCAGUCUAUGCGUACAAGUGGAGCUCUUGAUCAUUCAACAACAAAAUUGAAUCUUCCUUUCAUCGAGGUUGGCAGUAUCCACAAUACAUGUUGGACGUUGGCAUUUGAAUUGCAGUACGUUUCAACAGGCUGAGAAUUCUUUGAAAAUUUGAUGGAUGGGGGAAGUUACCUAUCUGUAGGGAAGAAAGCUUUGGAAAAGGUUCUGGUUACGUCAGGGAGAAGGAUGGGAUAUGGAAUGUGAAUCUGAAGGAGCCAAUACAAUGAUGGAGUAUCUUAUAUCUCUAAAACCAAGUCUGGUGAAAAUUAUGGUAUUUUUAUAAUCUUAAUAUGGUUUAUUUUCGUUUUGUUUUCUGAUUUGUAUACUUGUUAAUGUCCUAUGAUUGCAGGAAAUUUUACCCUUAAAUUUGCUGAUAACUUCACCUGUGAUGAUCCUUUAGGUUUCAUUUAGUUAUCUUGCUCUUCUUGCUCACCUAUUUCUUACUUCAGCCACUUCUAAACACCUUUCAGCAUAACUUUUUGGAAGCUGAAUAACUUAAAUAUUGCCAAACCAGGCGGAUGGCAGUGUAGCCUCUGCAUAAGGCCUUCGAUUUGUUUUCACUUAUUGAUCAAGGAUUAUAUAUUGUUUGUAAGUAAUGAAAAUACUUGUAGUUAUUUUCACAAAACCUAGUUUUUUAUAGGAGUGGAACUAAUUCCUAGUAUAUUGGGUGCAAUUUAUCAUAUUCUGCAGAACACUGGAUCAGCAGGUGCAUAACUUCAUAUUUGCAAAUCGUAUUUAAGCUUUUGAUCAGUUACUUAAUUGUUGUUUUGAAAAAAUUCUAGACUUGCCAUUGGCCAUUUACUGUCCAUUACCAUGGGACAUAUGAAUAGGAAUCAGGACAUAGGUAACUUCUGUCUACUGUUCUGCUCCUGCCAAUGCACCAUGCAGUAGCUGACAGUUAACAGCAUCUCGAGGAGCAACUGGAUUCUAAUGGGGUUAACCAUGUUGUUUUGUGAUGAAAAAUGUAAUGCUAAUGGGCUGUUCAUAGUGUUUUAGAAUUGGCAUUAUCAUUUCAAAGCCAAGUGAAUUUACCUGCAGGGAGAAGAAGCCUACAGUUGUCACUUGUCACAUAAGUUACAAGCAGGUUCUCCUGUUAAAACAAUUCUUUUUAUGAUGUUUGAUCCAUUUUUUUCCUGCAGUGAAAUAAUUAUGUAUUUUACAUAUACAUGCUCACUGUAAUUCUCCUUAUCUGAUGGCUUUUGAUUCUAAACUAUAGAAAGUAGCAGUUAACUGUGUGCAAGGAAAACCUUGCACCAUAAUACCGUAAAUUUGCCAUUGAUCUAUCUGGAAUUUCUACUGAAAAAACCAUUCGGGAAAGCUGAUUGCCAUUUGCUUUUGGCAAAUAUCUCUAUCAAAAUUGAUUGUAUCUGGAAUGGCCUUGGGAGUUUUAAUCGAUGCUGACUUUCUAAUUUCUAAAUAGCUACUUUCGUGACACUACUUGUGAUUCUUGAGACUCUUGUUAAACAUAUUGAAAAUAUAUUCAUCACUUCGGAUGUGACAGGUUAGUUCUGUAACAUCUCUUUUCCAUGAGAUCUUUGAAUUUUCUUAGUUCUAAAAUAAUCAUUGGUUUUCUUUUAGAAAGUAAAUCUGAAGCUUCUGUAUGUAGUCGUCAGUAGUGGUAAGAGGCAUCUGAUGCAUUUUGAUCUGGAUUAGGGUUGAUCUUGGACCAAGGUCUAUCCAGUUGCUUAGGCUCCUUGCAUUUAGCUCAAGUAAACAAGUGCUUGAGUUUUGAGUAGCCUUAAGGCUAUUUGUGUGUUUUGAACUGUUACUCAUUCUCAUUUGAAAAAUCAGAACACCUUUUUACUCCUAGAGUCAUCUCUCUGAACAUUGUUAUAUAGAUUGACCAACUCUAAUGAACUAAACUGUAUAUCUCAAUAUGAACUGGUGAAAAGAACAUCAAAGCCAUUGAAGGAUCAGGUGGAAGCAUAUAUUCAGUCUAACAGGCUUUUUGAAUUUGUUAGAUGAGUCACAAAAAGGCAGGAGGAUUGAUUUUACAACAAAACAGAGACACAGUGAUCAGGUCUUUCUCCAUAUCAAUCGGAUGGAAGCUUCCAUGCUCACCUAAGAAUAUUUUGUUGUUUUGGACUUGUAAACUGAGGUAUUGUCUCUUUGCUCAUCAUUCUUUUCUGAAAUCUCCUUCAUGUAUCAAUAGUCAUUAACUUCAGCAUGUUUCCUAUUAGAUUCCUGCAACCUUUAUGUCUCAUGUUUUAGCUAGAGCAGAUUAUAAACACUACUAGGCUUCUUACAACCCAUCAUCUACAUGAAGGGUUCGUCAUAGACUAUAACCAAUCUUCUUAUAAGAGCUUAAUCCUUGAAAGUUGUGUCUUCUAGGGCUGUUCUUGUUGCUCACUUAGCAAUGAAUCAAGAAAUUAAAUAAAUUGUUCAAUUUGCUUUGGAGGUGGCUAUAUUUUUUUCUUUUCCGAGAGAGAUGACAAUGAAUCACAGGUAUUUCUACCUACUCGGCCUGUUUAAAUUGGAUUAUCAGAUGAAUAUGGGUAGAAAAAUAGAUGCCUGAGUCAAAUUAGGACAGAUUUGAGUAAUAUUUAAUCAGGUUUGCUAAUAGAUAUGAUGAAAUUCUUGAGAAUUCUAUUUGCUAUCAUUUUUGUUGUGGUAGAGAUUUAUUACAUAGAAAAAUUAAGUAUUGAAGUCAGUCCUGAGACUAGUUUGAUUGUCAACGUAGUAAUUGGAUUCAGGAAAUGGAUAGGAUGAAAUUUACAGCCACUUAUCUGCUGUCAUUCUUACUUAUGGAUGGAGUCAUUUGCUUGAUUAGCACUCUCAAUUAUUUUCAUGAAAAGCCUAGUUUGUAUCCUUCAAUUAUGACAUCUGAACCCACAAUAAGAUGGAUUUGAUUUGAUGGUAUAUUACAAAUUGGAUAUGCGUCAGUUGCAAUGUAGGUCAAUUUGAACUGGCUUCACUCAACCAGUCUCAUCAUUCCAAAGGAAAGCCAAAAGGGCAUUGAAAUGUAGGGAAAUAUUAUGGGUUUUUGCAUAUCUAUACUUGCAAUGUUUGGAAAUAGUAUAUUUGCUCCUCCAGAUUUUAAUAUAUAUCCCUUUAAAUAUUUAGAUUCUUUGCAUAUAACAAAUUGUUUGACUAUUUAAAUUCUUUUUAUAUGUCACUCUUGUUAGCAUCAAAUCAAUAAAUCUAUGUUAAUUACUACUAACUAUCACUAACAGUGAGGUCAGAAAAAUAUUAAAAUUUGAAGUACCUAAAAUGCCUCUUAUCAUUUUCAUUGAGUAUUUAAUUUCUUGUUUAUGAAACUUAAAUUCAGAAAGGAAAAUGUAAAUGUUAUUAAUUUAAAAGGUAUACAUAAUAUUUUUGAAGCAGGAUUAAAUUUAAUUGAAAUUAAAGUAUUAACAUUGUCAUACUAACAGUUAACUGACGAAAUUUCUUAUAGUGGUACAUAUGUAAGUUUUUGAGUCGUAUAGAAUUAUUUACAUAUGCAUAAACUUAAAUUUAGAAUGAGAAAACAAUGAAAAAUCACUAACUUAUGAGGCAUGAGUAAUAUGCAUAUUUCAAUAUUUUGAGGUAUUCGACUGGUGAAUUGUUAUGUGAAAUUUUCACAAUCCUUGGCCCAUAAGCAGCUCCUACAUCUUCUUGGUGUUUGAUUAGGUAUUUAUUUGAUGAACUACCAGUAAAUUCUAGUUUAUGCUCCCCACACCAAUUUGCUUAAAGACCCACUGAUCAUUAAAUGAUGAUAUGUGCAUAUGCUGCUGAAAACAUAACUUAAUCAUAUCAGUUAAUUUAUCUUAAUAACCACAAGGAUGGAUUUGAAUACCAUAACCAUGUCGAGUCCCAAACUCUUCAUUUCUCAAUCUAUUCCACUGAAGCAUCAUCCUCAACAUACAUUUGGGAUCUCACCUCAUACAGUGAGUGCUGUGGAACCCCUGUUGGCGUUGUUCAUUAAUCAAAAACCCCAAUCUCUAGAAGAUGAUGGCAUCAGUGCCUGCUACUAUUGGAAUAUGGGUAGUGGCUGGCACUCAUCAAGUGCUUCAUUCAAUGGACAUCAUUGUUCCUGUCUUGGCAGGUUGUGAAAGAAUAGAUUAGAUAUACUUGAGAAGGGAAACCUUGAGGAGAUUAUAUUGUUGGGCCAAGGACAAGCAAGCUUAUGGUGUUAGAUUACAGCUUUCUUGGCACCUUUGAGCUUUUGAUAUGCCAUAUUAAGGAUGAAGCUACUACUAGUGAUGAAAAGGGGUUUGACCUUACUUUUUGUGUUGGGGUCUUUCAUGAGGUCACUUUAGCCUCCCAAAGUGGCCAUUGUUAUCCCUUAAAGUCCCAGCCCAGUGUUGGUCUCCAACAGCCAUUCCACUCCUUUCCAAGUACAAUCAUCUCAGCACACAAAAGUAGGCAGUAGCAUCAAGUCUAAUGCUGGUCACAACACCACUUCACUCUUCUUCAAGUACAUUCAUCUCAUGCAACACACUUAGGAAGACCGGCAAACAAAAGGCUUUUGGCCACAGGCAUCCCCACCACCGCCACCACCACCUCCACCUCCACCUCCACCACCAUCACCUUCAUCUCUCCCCCCUUGUAAUGAGCCACUUGUACGCCUUAUCUCUUUGAUUGUUCUUGUCUGUGAUUCCGUGCCUUUCUUGUCGUUUACUUGGGACAGGAAAAGAGAGCAGGGAUCGGACUGUGCUCGCUGUGGGAUGGACAAGUACGGUGGAAACCAAGGAAGCAAGUAGAGCAAGCAUAUGACAGGAGUUCCAUUGGCUGGUACGUAUCGUUCAUUCUCUCACGUAGUAUAAAGAGUUAACAGACUUGUCCUUUGGCUGAGCAGAAAAAAGUCUGCUCUUAAGAGCACAAAUAAUCUAAGCUUGAUUUUAGACUACAGGCUUAGAUUAUAUCCGUUGAGGUAUCCUUAUUUCUCAUAUCAAACAUACUUAAAAUUCCUCAUCCUCGAAGAAUAUGCUGACUUAAGUAUUGGGAAAGAAUUACAAAGAUCUUUAUAACAUGAAGUGAUGUAUCUGCUUGAUUAACUGGGUGUUCUCUGACAAGAAUCCAAGUUGCAGCAAUUCAAUAGUGAUCUCUGUAGAAAUUUAGGCAUCAAGAUUGACAAGAAAGUUAUGGGGUUGAUAGUUUCAUCCACUGAACAAUACAGUGGGUGAGUUUAUCUGCAAGACUUUAGCUUCUGAUCAGGCAUGAAAGGGAUUUAAGUUCACACAAACAACCUAAUUUUAUUAUAUCAAGGAAUUUACGCAACCAUAUCCUGUGCUCAGAGAACGGGCUUAUGUCACUCUUCUUCUUAUGCAGUUCUAAGGAUUCUCUUAAGGCAGAAAAAAAAAAAAAUCCAGGUUUGCAGGUCAGCAUAUACAUCUUGAAUUGUCACAUUCAUUGUUAUGCACCAGUUUUAAGAUUCAAGCACCGCUUUAUGAUAUGAUAUUUCAUUUUCAUACAUUUUUUCAUUUCUAGUAUAAGAAAAACAAAACUCAGUUUAUAUUUCAACACUUCAACUUAACCAUCAUCAGAUAUCUUUAUAGGCCCCAACUAGAAAUUGGUUCCUGAUUCAUUUCUUGAUAUUUCAUAUCAUAAAGGAGUAACCUUAUAUCAAGUAACUAUAUCAUGUCAUAAAGGAGUAACCUUAUCAUUGUAUCAAGUUCUAUCCUCUUCUUAUUUUAUAUUAUCUUACAAUAAAAUAAUGAUCCAGUUAUUUAUUUUCAACUUAAAUCUUGUGGAUGUGGUAUUUUGAUAGGAAUCUCAUGCAUUGGAUUUAUUUUACCCUUUUUUUAUUAAUUUUCGUAUUAUUGUGAGAAAUUAUCAACUAUAAGAUGUAAGAAAAAACAAUUAGUGGGCAUUCAUUGUGUACACUACUUUGUGUAACACGACAAGGUCGAGAAUUUAUGUGUGAGUUCGAAUGCACUGAAGUUAUUAUCUGGCUAGGAAUAAGAUGUGACCUUCCAUGAUCAUAGAGAGAUGCUCCCAAAAAGAUAUUAUAUAUCUCAAAGUCCUAUGAGUUAUCCUUGUAUACCAUUUUCCACUUAGGAUUUGUGUUAGUUUUGUGGCCCCAUUUGAAGAGAGUGUGAUAUCUUAAUUAGUCUCACACUAGAUAUAAAUUACAACUGUAAGUAUUCUUUUUAGAGUUGUGCAACUGUAAUAUUACAGAAGUUUGAGUUAUGAUUAUGUGGUCUUUAAAUAAAUAAAGGAAUAUUUGGAAAAACAUUUUGGCUCUGAAAUUUAAAGAGAUAAGUUUAGUGUGAUAAUAUUUUUUUGGUAUUCCAGUUAGAGUGGGGGAAAAAAUGGAAUUUGGGAUAGGGAUUGAGACAUAUGAGUGUUGUGAUGGGUUCAGAAGAACCCACCAAUUAAGAUGGAGGGGCAGCACAAGAGGACAAGGAUUCCACUACCUCGCCCUCGUGCACUGCGGGAAAAGGAGAAUGAAAGCAACAAAGUGGUGCAAGAGCUCCAUGGGUGGGAGCGCCACUCGCCCGCAGACUUGUCCUCUGCCUUGGCGACUACCGGACAAUGGCAGGGGAGGCGUAGCUCUCAUGGGCAUUCAUCUUCCCAAGCUUUGUUGCCUGUUUCCAGGACAAAUCCCUUUCUUCUUUCUUUCUACUGCUAAUGUAAGCGAGAGCUUGAAAGAGAAAUCUUGCUUUGUUGCCGCCAGGGCCCCAACCAUUGGCAGCCUCCCUCUGGUGCAAGAUGCUACAUUACAGAUGAAGAAAAGUUGGGGACUAUUACGCUGCUGUCAGUGGAGGACAAGCUACUCUAGCUGAGAGCAUGUGUUCAUUUGCAUCCACUUCCAAUUUCAGAAAAAGUAGGCUGUCUCAGCUUGUCUCUU